AGGAUGGGGGGAGAGAUGGAUUGGGGAUUGUUUAAGGCGACUCACUCCUCCCCUCCCGUCUUCU
rnacentral:pre_miRNA from 1 species